rnacentral:tRNA from 1 species
GCCCAAGUGAUCUUCAGUGGUCUGGGCUACAUACUGCAAAUCUGUAGCUGUCUAAUGACAGAGUGGUUCAAUUCUGCCUCCUAGGUG